rnacentral:rRNA from 1 species
AUGUUCAACCUCCUCAAGAAAGGAACCCCAUUUGUCUGGACGCAAGCGACUGAGGAGUCAUUCCAACUACUGAAACAAGGUCUUAUUACUGCUCUUGUACUUGCCCUACAGGACUUCUCAAAGCCUUUUGUCGUCGAAACAGAUGCAUGCGACGCUGGCGUCGGGGCAAUCCUGCAGCAACAGGGGCACCCAAUUGUCUAUAUGAGCAAAGCACUGUCACCCAAGUAUAGGGGGUUGUCCACCUAUGAAAAAGAAUAUCUGGCAGUGGUAGUGGCCGUAGACCAAUGGCGCCCAUAUCUCCAACACAGUGAAUUCGUCAUAUAG